AAUUCAUGCGGCUGCUAUACAUGCAGUCGAGCGGACCGACGGGAGCUUGCUCCCUUAGGUCAGCGGCGGACGGGUGAGUAACACGUGGGUAACCUGCCUGUAAGACUGGGAUAACUCCGGGAAACCGGGGCUAAUACCGGAUGCUUGAUUGAACCGCAUGGUUCAAUCAUAAAAGGCGGCUUCGGCUGCCGUUUACAGAUGGACCCGCGGCGCAUUAGCUAGUUGGUGAGGUAACGGCUCACCAAGGCGACGAUGCGUAGCCGACCUGAGAGGGUGAUCGGCCACACUGGGACUGAGACACGGCCCAGACUCCUACGGGAGGCAGCAGUAGGGAAUCUUCCGCAAUGGACGAAAGUCUGACGGAGCAACGCCGCGUGAGUGAUGAAGGUUUUCGGAUCGUAAAGCUCUGUUGUUAGGGAAGAACAAGUACCGUUCGAAUAGGGCGGUACCUUGACGGUACCUAACCAGAAAGCCACGGCUAACUACGUGCCAGCAGCCGCGGUAAUACGUAGGUGGCAAGCGUUGUCCGGAAUUAUUGGGCGUAAAGCGCGCGCAGGCGGUUUCUUAAGUCUGAUGUGAAAGCCCCCGGCUCAACCGGGGAGGGUCAUUGGAAACUGGGGAACUUGAGUGCCGAAGAGGAGAGUGCAAUUCCACGUGUAGCGGUGAUCUGCUUAGAGAUGUAGAGGAACGCCAUCGGAUACUGCUACUCUCUCGCCU
rnacentral:rRNA from 1 species